CUUCUCCAUCUUUCAAUCAGUUGCAUAUACCUAACCCUAAUCCCCAAUUCGUCCCCCCUGCAAGUCACCCUCAAAUACGCAAUUGUUAGUUUGUUACCACCAUCACCACCAUAAACAACCUUCCCUCUUCUCCCUCACCACCACUCUAGCCACUGCCACCCGGCCACCGCCACCCAACCCCAACUACCACCCGCCGUCCGCCACCCAUCCCUCCAGUCUUAGAUCUGUUACUAUGUAAACCCACAUAAUUUUACAAAACAAACCCACAAAAAUUUUACAUUACUUGAACAAAAGAUUGAUACUUUGAGAUCAUACUCAACGAUAUAUGCAUCUAAACACGAAACCAGCAGUUUAAUUGCUCCGGAUUUGACGAUUUGACUCAAUUCUCCAGUUCGUACUUCGAGAAAUCAACGGUUUAGACUCGUUUUUGCAGAUCGGAAUUCCAGAUCGACGGUUUUUGCAUAUCGAGAAAUCAACGGUUUAGACCAGCUUGCUCUGAACCGACAGAACUGGCCGAUUUGCAGAUCGGGUACUGGCCAAGUUGUAGAUCUGGAUUAGCUUGCUCAGAUUCCAGACCGGGAUUAGCUUGCAGCGUUUUAGUUAGCUAUGCGUGAAGACUGAUGAGGAACACCAUGUGUGUGGUGAUGUUAGAGAAAUCUAGAUGAAUUAUGUGUGUUUUUCUUUUUUUUUAGUUUUAAAUUUUAACAGUGGACAACUUCACUUUUGGGUAGUUGACCCACCGCCCACAACCCAUCCCUCUAUAAAUUCACAUAACUUUUAGUUUGUUGAAUUAGAGUGUUCAUAAGUGUUUGACUAGAUCUGGUUUUUAAUCAAUUAGGUUAGAGCAGGAAUUAAGGUUUUUGUUUGGGUUAGAGUUUGAAUUGAUUUGAAUUGGUUGCAACCUGGUGGUGGUUGUGGUUGGGUGGCGGUGGUCGGGUGGCAGUGACUAGAGUGGUGGUAAGUGAGAAGAGGGAAGGUUGUUUAUGGUGGUGGUGGUGGUGGUGGUGUUAGAGUGAUGGUAACGGUUUUUAUAACAGGGUACAUUAAUUGGUAGGUAGAAUGACAUUAAUGCCCUCAUGUGAUUCUCACAUGACCUGACUUAACUGGGAAAACAAACUAGGUUUAGGGUAAAGGACAUAACCUGAAUGGUUUUUCAAACAUUAAGUAUGUUUUCUGAGCUUAUUAAAGAUAAAGGACAUACUUUGUAAUAAAUGACAUAUAUAAAGGACGAACUUUGUAAUUUACUCUAUAUAAAGUAAUUAAGUAUAUGAUUCGGGUAUAUGGUUCAGGUAUAUAGCUUUGGGUAAUUGGGCAGGUAUCACCCAAUCCCAUACCCGCGGAAUACUUUUUUUUCAAAUCCCAUACCCUGUCCCAUACCCAUCGGGUUUCGCAUAUACCCCUCUUGAAUAUAUAAAAAAAGAGUCUUACAGACCAUAUGACCACCAUAACUAUCUAGGUGUGUUACCAUAUUCGACUUUAGUUAAUAUCAUUUGAUCCCGGUCUUUUGGUCUUUUUGCAGGAAUUUUUUUCUAAUUUAAUGUUUCAUCUUGGUCAAUAUUAUUUGAUUGCGGUUUUUGUUCUAUUCGACUUCAGGAAAUUUGUCGGUUCGGGUCUCAGCUAAUAGUUCAGCUGGAAAUUUGACUGGUGGCUUGAAGCACUGCAACAUUGGUUUGUGAUUGAUUAAAGGGUUUUUAGGUAAUUUAUAGGGUUUUUAGGUAAUUUAUGAUGCUUUUAAUUUACUGUUCGAGAGGAGAUUUAGUGGGUUAGCUGUAGUUUUCCCUUUGAUUUUCACAUCAGAUAUGUAGUUGUUAAAGUGCAUAGCUCGUGGGCUGAUUUUCGUGACUAUUUUAAGCAACAGGUGAUUUGAAUAUUCAAGCUUUCGGUUUAAACAUCUUUAGUAACAUGUUAUUUAAUAACUUAAGUUAUAUGUAAUGUACGGAGUAGGGAGAAAAGGUUGCUCGCAUUUACCAUAAGGGGGGCAAACAUACAUUUUGAUUUUUCAUACAAGAGAGGAGAGUGGCUCGUGUUUGGGCCCGAAACCAGUGAGCUACCACCCGAGGCUUUGAAUGAGUGCAAAAAUGAGCCGUUUGGUGGUAGGACGCUUAAAAUUCCAAAGGUUGAAGUCGUGGAGGCGGGUUUCUCUUCUUUGGAGACGAUAUAUAUUAUCCUUCACGUGUUGUAUCAACUCCUACGUCACAAGCUUAUAGAAAACACUACUCACCAGGGUAUGGAGAAGUCAUUUAUGGUGGAAAACCAACUAGGCUUAAGAAUCUACUUGUAAUAUUUGACGGUGGAAGUUCAUUUACAUACCUAAGUUCACAGGCUUAUGAAGGCUUACUUUAUUUGUCGGGUAACAGGUUGGAGAUUAUUCCGAACACAACUCAGACUUAUUCGUGUCAAAACAUCAACUCUGUCUCACACAGACUUAAAAUCAUUAACUCGAACACCAAGUGUGUAGCCCAUUUAUCUAAACGAGUUGAGUACGUUAGUGGAUUUUCGAGUUGUAUUCAAAUUCCAACUCAUCCUCAAACAAUGGCGGAGCAUUUACCAUCGCUUUUCGGCACAGAAAAGUAUCAAGUGAAUUGUCCGUUCUAUUUCAAGAUCGGUUUGAGUAAAUUUUAAUGUUUUUUUUUAAUUUAUGAAACAAUUCUGAAACUUGAAUGUUUUUUUUAGUUAGAAACAGUUUGAGUAAUUUUAGUAAAAUAUUACAUAUUCUGAUGUUAUUGCAGGGGUCUAAUGUUCAAACUGCCUUACUUGUGUCAAAAGAUGGUCAACGGGGAUUCACAUUCCUUAAGUACAAGUGGUAACAAAGAUGUUUAAUUCCUAAGGUGUAUAUAUAACCGAUAUUUGUCUUUUUCUUGAUGUUUUUGUACACGGCUUCUAAAAAAACUUUGUUACCAUUUUAUGUAAUGUCAUUUGAUUUGCAUUACU